UAUGGAUCGUCACCUUGCACACAAACUCCACAUUCCCCUCAAAGCCCUGCCGCACCACAUCACGGUCCAUGCCCUCACUGGACAGCAACUCCCCACUAUCUCUCACAGCACUGAGGAGAUCACACUCAUCACCUCUGGCAACCACUCCGAAACUAUCUCAUUUCACAUCCUUGACACUCCCCUGGCACCCAUUGUCCUCGGGCACCCUUGGCUCCUUCUCCAUAACCCCAAAGUAGACUGGUCCUCUAAUUCCAUCUUUUCUUGGUCUCGAAGAUCCUGGUGUUUGAUGUCGUGUUCGUGUUGUUCCUGCCUUGCCUUGUCGCCGUUCUGUUCGGAUCCUGUCGUCACGCUUGGAAUACACUCACCACUAUUGGAUUAUCACCGCUGUCAUCGUCGUUCAACGCACCCCACGUCUCAACUCACCAGUCUGUGCUGCCACCGUGGUUCCUGCGUUACUCUCCGACCUUUCAUCAUCAUCAUACUUCUAAUAAACUUACUCGUACUUG